rnacentral:tRNA from 1 species
GCGCCUAUAGCUCAAUGGAUAGAGCAACUGUCUUCGGAACAGUUGAUGCGAGUUCGAUUCUUGCUAGGCGCA